rnacentral:rRNA from 1 species
GGGUCCUACGGGAGGCAGCAGUGAGGAAUAUUGGUCAGUGGUCGGGAGACUGAACCAGCCAAGCCGCGUGAGGGAGGAAGGUACAGAGUAUCGUAAACCUCUUUUGUCAGGGAACAAAGGCGGGGACGUGUCCCCGGAUGAGUGUACCUGAAGAAAAAGCAUCGGCUAACUCCGUGCCAGCAGCCGCGGUAAUACGGAGGAUGCGAGCGUUAUCCGGAUUUAUUGGGUUUAAAGGGUGCGCAGGCGGUCUGGUAAGGCAGCGGUCAAAGCCCGGGGCUCAACCCCGGCCCGCCGUUGCAAAUGGC